CCUCGCUACAACCCUGCCAGCAGCCCCUCAGUGCUACACAGAAGAAAGCAAUCACAGAAAUUACAUCUACUGGUUCUCUAUGGAACAUUGCCCAGCUCCCUGGAGGGUAAGGGGACCUUUCACGAUGAGAACUGGCUGAGAAUGUCUGUUUGCAAUUCAUCAUGACCUGGAGGAAUGGAGCAAAAGAGCAGAGCUCAAGAAAUAGAAGAGACAACCUCACUGACCCUUCCAGGAGCUUCACUUUCGGAAAGGGAUGGACAUCAUGGGGCCCACCCACAAAGCAACAUGAAAAUAGUGCAUCCCAACCUAAAACCUCGAGAAGCCACUAUCUUCUCUGCACAAGCUUCCAAUGGAUUUGAGACAUUAAACCUAUAGAUGACCACUCUUCGAUUACAGUGAGAUGCAGAUUUGUGAUAAGUAUUUACUAAGCAUGUGAGCCAGAAGGAAUGUGCUUGACCUCUAGAUUUAACCCAGAACUAGGAGUGUGUCCCACUGUUGGGGGGGGGGGGGCAGGUUCUAUAAUCACCUGAAUACAGGACACAGAUGGGGAAAUGGUUAAAUAGGACUGGGGUGGCAUCCCAUUUAUGUUGUUUGCUCUUGACAAGCUUCUUAGAGAGAAAUAAUCUCUCACUUUCUUUAAACUAUGCAUGGUGAACCCACGUUUUAACAGGUUAGAUUUUUUUCACAGUGGAACAGUGAGCUCUGCAUGGUAGAAAAAGGAGGAACCCACAUGGGAUGCUGCAGCCCCAGACUCCACCCAACAAUCCUUAGCCCACAACAUUCUCGGGCUUUUUGAAGUACAAAAAGAUUCUAACUGAGAUGUCUCAUUUAAUAAUUCAUCAGAUUUGCUACUAAAGCCAUGGUGUUUUAAACUCAAUAUAUGCUGUAAAAUAAUAAAUGAUACAAUGAAUCAUCAGAAUUAGUAAUAUAUAGAAUCAAAUAUUUUCAAAAUUCCACUAAAUUGUCCCAUGUAUCAGAAACACGGUGUUUUAGGUUAAAGCACUGAAGUCUGUUGUGGAAUAUUAAUUUAAGCUGCAUUACAUUCGUUUAUGCUGUGGAAUAUUUGUUUAAUGAUGCAAAGAUGUGUUGCAUUCUUUUCUGGUGCAUUUGUUUAAUUCUGUAAUGCUGUGUUAUUUUGCCUGUCUAAAACACCUGAUUUGUCUAAUAAAG
rnacentral:lncRNA from 1 species